CACGUAAGGGGCAAGCGUUGCUCGGAAUUAUUGGGCGUAAAGGGCGUGUAGGCGGUUUUGUAAGCCUGGUGUAAAAGGUGUACGCUUAACGUACAUAGGUCGCUGGGGACUGCGAGACUAGAGUUUAGGAAGGGGAGCUGGAAUUCCAGGUGUAGGGGUGAAAUCUGUAGAUAUCUGGAAGAAUACCAAUGGCGAAGGCAAGCUUCUGGCCAUAGACUGACGCUGAGGCGCGAAAGCGUGGCGAGCAAACAGGAUUAGAUACCCUGGUAGUCCACGCUGUAAACGAUGUGCACUAGGUGUUGGUGCGAAUGCAUCAGUGCCGAAGUUAACGCGAUAAGUGCACCGCCUGGGGAGUAUGCUCGCAAGGGUGAA
rnacentral:rRNA from 1 species